UGGGGAAUAUUGGACAAUGGGCGCAAGCCUGAUCCAGCCAUGCCGCGUGAGUGAUGAAGGCCCUAGGGUUGUAAAGCUCUUUUGUGCGGGAAGAUAAUGACUGUACCGCAAGAAUAAGUCCCGGCUAACUUCGUGCCAGCAGCCGCGGUAAUACGAAGGGGGCUAGCGUUGCUCGGAAUCACUGGGCGUAAAGCGCACGUAGGCGGCUUUGUAAGUCAGAGGUGAAAGCCCGGAGCUUAACUCCGGAAUUGCCUUUGAGACUGCAUCGCUUGAAUCCAGGAGAGGUGAGUGGAAUUCCGAGUGUAGAGGUGAAAUUCGUAGAUAUUCGGAAGAACACCAGUGGCGAAGGCGGCUCACUGGACUGGUAUUGACGCUGAGGUGCGAAAGCGUGGGGAGCAAAC
rnacentral:rRNA from 1 species